rnacentral:rRNA from 1 species
AUUGCACAAUGGGGGAAACCCUGAUGCAGCGACGCCGCGUGAAGGAAGAAGUAUCUCGGUAUGUAAACUUCUAUCAGCAGGGAAGAUAGUGACGGUACCUGACUAAGAAGCCCCGGCUAACUACGUGCCAGCAGCCGCGGUAAUA